UACGGAGGGGGCUAGCGUUGUUCGGAAUUACUGGGCGUAAAGCGCACGUAGGCGGCUUUGCAAGUCAGAGGUGAAAGCCCGGGGCUCAACCCCGGAAUUGCCUUUGAGACUGCAUCGCUAGAAUUGUGGAGAGGUAAGUGGAAUUCCGAGUGUAGAGGUGAAAUUCGUAGAUAUUCGGAAGAACGCCAGUGGCGAAGGCGACUUACUGGACACAUAUUGACGCUGAGGUGCGAAAGCGUGGGGAGCAAACAGG
rnacentral:rRNA from 1 species